UUCUCCUGUAUGUGAAUGAAUGGUUGUG
rnacentral:piRNA from 1 species